rnacentral:sRNA from 1 species
GACGGAGGCGCGUCAACCGGACGUGGCGGCAGAGGGAACAGGGUGAUUUUUCCGGUUUCUUACCCUGGCCAACGCAAAGGCAGUCGAGCCCUUAUCCCGCCCGCCUC